rnacentral:rRNA from 1 species
AGUGAACGCUGGCGGUAGGCCUAACACAUGCAAGUCGAACGGCAGCACAGUAAGAGCUUGCUCUUACGGGUGGCGAGUGGCGGACGGGUGAGGAAUACAUCGGAAUCUACUUUUUCGUGGGGGAUAACGUAGGGAAACUUACGCUAAUACCGCAUACGACCUACGGGUGAAAGCAGGGGAUCUUCGGACCUUGCGCGAUUGAUUGAGCCGAUGUCGGAUUAGCUAGUCGGCGGGGUAAAGGCCCACCAAGGCGACGAUCCGUAGCUGGUCUGAGAGGAUGAUCAGCCACACUGGAACUGAGACACGGUCCAGACUCCUACGGGAGGCAGCAGUGGGGAAUAUUGGACAAUGGGCGCAAGCCUGAUCCAGCCAUACCGCGUGGGUGAAGAAGGCCUUCGGGUUGUAAAGCCCUUUUGUUGGGAAAGAAAAGCAGCAGGUUAAUACCCCGCUGUUCUGACGGUACCCAAAGAAUAAGCACCGGCUAACUUCGUG